rnacentral:rRNA from 1 species
CAGUAGCCGCGGUAACACGGAGGGUGCAAGCGUUAUCCGGAUUUAUUGGGUUUAAAGGGUCCGUAGGCGGACUUAUAAGUCAGUGGUGAAAGCCUGUCGCUUAACGAUAGAACUGCCAUUGAUACUGUAAGUCUUGAGUAUAUUUGAGGUAGCUGGAAUAAGUAGUGUAGCGGUGAAAUGCAUAGAUAUUACUUAGAACACCAAUUGCGAAGGCAGGUUACCAAGAUAUAACUGACGCUGAGGUACGAAAGCAUGGGGAGCAAACAGGAUUAGAUACCCGCGUAGUCCCUGUCUCUUAUAA